UCUGGUGAACCACAGGAGAGGUCCAACGCUACCUGGAGCAACUGAGGGUUCUCAGUAUUGAUGUAGACUUCACCAAAUAUAUUCAGGGAGCAUCACUCAUCUCAGUGCAAUAUAAAAAGUGCUGGCCAGCAAGAAAUCAGUGGAGAAGUUCAGCUACCUGCAUCUAGGACAUGAGACUACUCUUUGUACAGUAGAAGGCUAAAAGUAUCCAGCAAGUCCUGACCAGCAGAAAAGAACUAGGUAAAAUUCUACACAGCUGGAAGACUCCAGCAGAGACAGCAGCAGAGAAGGCAGCGUUAAGUUUUUAAAGACAGCAAAAAAAAAAAAAAAAAAGCAGUUUCUGAUAAAGUUACACAUUGGAAAUACAUUUUACAGAGCAUUGUAAAAACUUGAAAAGGGAAGCAAAGAAAAUUAAGGCCAACACAAGUAAGAAAGUAAGAACUGUGGGAAGAAUUCUGAAAGACAUGUUAGGAGUGUAACAAUAAAGUCACUCAAUACACGGAGUGAAAAAAUGCUCAACUUUGAAAAAGUGGUAAAAUUUUCAAGAGUAGUGAAUACAUGAAAAUGCCUGGUAUCAAUGGAAAAGUUUGGAAAAAUUUGUAUUUGGAGAAGUUACAAGAGCUUGCCGAGGGAUUUUCUGAACUCUCUCCUUUAGUUAUUUUUGGUUGAUGUUUUUUUGUUUUAUGUCAGCAGCUCCUGCAAUGUAGAUGAAAACUGGGGAAGCCCGAAGAUCAUUUAGGAUAGCGUCAAUAUUUAAAAAACAGGUGGAAACCUACGGGGAGGGCAGAGCACCGAACUUUGAGCUUAAACUCCUUGAGGAACAGAUUGGAGAUUCAAGAAGCCGAGGGUAAUACACAGUUUACAGCAGAGCACUAGAGAAAGCAAAUGCUUCCUCCAUGCUGUACACAUUUACAAGAGCUGAGAGAAGAAUGAAUUCUCCAAAAAUGCCAGUGUGGAAGUAAGUAGGACUGGAGUUUAUUUCCUUGGAAGCUUAGCAAAUCC
rnacentral:lncRNA from 1 species